rnacentral:tRNA from 1 species
GCGCAGAUGCUGGAAUUGGUAGACAGGCUGGCUUGAGGUGCCAGUGCUGCAAGGCGUGCGGGUUCGAGUCCCGCUUUGCGCACCA